rnacentral:misc_RNA from 1 species
GCUACAUCUGCUCAUGCUUGCUCACAAAGCGUGCUUCCUCCUUUUUACGAAGCAAAAAUCUGCUUUUACGUCACUCGCUUAAUGGCGACACACUGGUUCAUUCAGCCGAUAUACAUAGUGUCUAUGUCCGGAAAUUCUGGCUUUCAAAGCUUGGUGUAAACGUGGGGGUGCAGCCCGUCUUCUGAAGGUUCUCUCAAACCUGAUGAAGAGGUUUUGAGAAAGGAGGGAGGGCUGGCAUCAUGCCCGUGGUGGGGUUUUCGUUCUUAAAAGUGAUCUUGAGCAGCGCAGCUUCCUUCUGCAUGUGCCGCAGCGCUAGCCCUAUUCUUUUUUCAAACGCAUUUAUUCUCUGCCAGGGGGCAUGGGCCCAGCACAACUCUGCCCCAGGCCGGCUGCACGCCCACCGCCUGCUGCAAAGCAGCGCUAGACACACGUUGCGGCAGUGCGCCGACUCGGUCACCAGUGCGUGAUCUCGGCCCCAAACACCACCCACUGAGCAGGGCGCCUCGCAGCCGCUCACCCAUCAUGCCGGCCGCCCCCUGCUGCAUCUCCCCUCGGGGUGGCGCGGGCUCCCUCACCAGUGGGCAGUGGGGGCCAGGUGGGACACAUCGGGGUCACGUGGGCACCCUGCCCGUCACACACACAUGGCACAAACGGCUGCAUAGUUGCAGCUCUCUCCGACGCAGCGCCAUCAAGAAGCGCACCGCCGGCAUCAGCAGCGACACAUCGCUCUGACCUCACCACGUCGCAGGUGCUUGGCCCUGUCACUACAAGCAGAGGGUUGACACUCGCAAGGGAUAGGGGGAACUGCUUGGCUCCUCCAGAGGGAGUGGGUACUGAGCCGCUACGCUACGCUGAGAUGCCCACGUGUUAAGAGGGGAGACACAUCGCUGUGAUGGAACGAAAAUGGGGAGUAUCAUCUUGUGUGCCGCCUGCUCGGGUGGCUUAUCUUUAAAAAUAUUAGGGCGCCGGACCGGCAGGCUUGAUUAUUGAGGUGGUGGCUCGUAAGCACCAGCGGAAGUGAGUAAGCAAACAAAAAUAUUGAAGUGAUCGUUUUGCCUCCGUAAUCCGCCACACUGAGGUGUUUUUCGUUGAAUCAAACUCAAUCUGCCGAAAAGCGCCCAGGUAUCAAGGCGGUUGUUGCCGUCUUUACAGGAAAAUGAGCCUACGUCGCGUUGGAGUACGACAUGAACUGAUUUCAGCGUACAUGCAGCAAUGGAUGAAACUUUUUCAACACCUUCUUUUCUGGCCCCAACAAAUAAGGAAAG